UGCGUAGGGACCAAGCGUUGUCCGGAUUUAUUGGGCGUAAAGAGCUCGUAGGCGGUCUGUCGCGUCUGCUGUGAAAACUCAGGGCUUAACCCUGAGCUUGCAGUGGGUACGGGCAGACUAGAGUGCGGUAGGGGAGACUGGAAUUCCUGGUGUAGCGGUGAAAUGCGCAGAUAUCAGGAGGAACACCGGUGGCGAAGGCGGGUCUCUGGGCCGUAACUGACGCUGAGGAGCGAAAGCAUGGGGAGCGAACAGG
rnacentral:rRNA from 1 species